UACAGAGGGUGCAAGCGUUAAUCGGAAUUACUGGGCGUAAAGCGUGCGUAGACGGUUAUGUAAGUCGGGUGUGAAAGCCCCGGGCUCAACCUGGGAAUUGCAUUCGAGACUGCAUAGCUAGGGUGCGGAAGAGGGAAGCGGAAUUUCCGGUGUAGCGGUGAAAUGCGCAGAUAUCAGGAAGAACACCCGUGGCUAAGGCGGCUCUCUAGUACGGUACUGACGCUGAGACGCGAAAGCGUGGGGAGCGAACCGG
rnacentral:rRNA from 1 species